AUGCACGCUGGCGGCGUGCCUAAUACCUGCAAGUCGAGCGAACAGACGAGGAGCUUGCUCCUCUGACGUUAGCGGCGGACGGGUGAGUAACACGUGGAUAACCUACCUAUAAGACUGGGAUAACUUCGGGAAACCGGAGCUAAUACCGGAUAAUAUAUUGAACCGCAUGGUUCAAUAGUGAAAGACGGUUUUGCUGUCACUUAUAGAUGGAUCCGCGCCGCAUUAGCUAGUUGGUAAGGUAACGGCUUACCAAGGCGACGAUGCGUAGCCGACCUGAGAGGGUGAUCGGCCACACUGGAACUGAGACACGGUCCAGACUCCUACGGGAGGCAGCAGUAGGGAAUCUUCCGCAAUGGGCGAAAGCCUGACGGAGCAACGCCGCGUGAGUGAUGAAGGUCUUCGGAUCGUAAAACUCUGUUAUUAGGGAAGAACAAAUGUGUAAGUAACUAUGCACGUCUUGACGGUACCUAAUCAGAAAGCCACGGCUAACUACGUG
rnacentral:rRNA from 1 species